AAUUAUUUUGUUUUUUUUUUCAGUAGUUUUCUAUAAGUACUUAUUGUUUGUGAUGAAUAAUCAUGGUUCGACAGUGUAUUCUUAAUUACUGCAAAAGUUCAACAAGAACUACGCAAGACCGUAAAUACCUUAUACCAUCGCGUAGGUAUA